UUAAGUUCCAAUUCGAUUAGGGUCAUUGGAUUAAGGAGAUGAACGACCAGGAUUUGAGUAGUAAUUAAGCACCCCGAAGUUCAUUAUUUAGACUAUUUCGUUCAUUACGGGGGUGAAUUAGUAAUUGUAUAGUAUGAAAUUUUGGAGAACACGAGGGGUCGCGAAUUUAGCGGGAUACACCCGCUGAUUACAAUCUGCCGCCUCAUUCUUCACAAACCGCAUUUACUCCACUAAUCUCUCCACUAUCCAUCUCAAAAUCCAUCGGACUUGCAAAACCCUAGCCGCCGUGGACUUUUUUGGCGACGAUUACACCGGUUUUUCAGUGGAUUUGUAUUCUCGUGGUCGGUUCCGAACAUUACUCCGCCGCGUUCUAAGUAGAGACGCAGAUCUUAUAAUGCCGAAAAGAGGACGGCCAAGCAAUUCGCAGCAAACCCAGCAAGAUGAAAAUUCAGUCGUGGGUUCAGCUUCCUGAUGGUAACUGGGAGCUGGGGACAGUUCUUCAGGCUACUGGUAAUGAUUCAGUGAUAACAUCGCCUGAGGGAAAAGGGUACUGAAAGUGAGUUCAGAAACUCCGAUACCAGCAAAUCCUGAUAUUCUUGAUGGUGUAUAUGAUCUCAUGGAAUUAAGUUACCUGAAUGAAUCAU